UACGGGGGGGGCAAGCGUUGUUCGGAAUUACUGGGCGUAAAGGCUCGUAGGUGGCCAACUAAGUCAACCGUGAAAUCCCUCGGCUUAACCGGGGAACUGCGUUUGAUACUGGAUGGCUUGAGUUUGGGAGAGGGAUGCGGAAUUCCAGGUGUAGCGGUGAAAUGCGUAGAUAUCAGGAGGAACACCGGUGGCGAAGGCGGAUCUCUGGGCCAUUACUGACGCUGAGGAGCGAAAGCGUGGGGAGCGAACAGG
rnacentral:rRNA from 1 species